ensembl:lncRNA
GAGGCAGGUAGCCUAGUGGUUAGAGGCUAUGGUUAGAGGCAGGUAGCCUAGUGGUUAGAGGCAGGUAGCCUAGUGGUUAGAGGCAGGUAGCCUAGUGGUUAGAGACAGGUAGCCUAGUGGUUAGAGGCAGGUAGCCUAGUGGUUAGAGGCAGGUAGCCUAGUGGUUAGAGGCAGGUAGAGUAGUGGUUAGAGGCAGGUAGACUAGUGGUUAGAGGCAAGUAGCCUAGUGGUUAGAGGCAGGUAGCCUAGUGGUUAGAGGCA